rnacentral:lncRNA from 1 species
UUACUGGAGGAAUUAUUACCUAUCUUGUGUUACCGCCCCAGAUGCAACCUGGGACCGAUUUUACAUCAAUUCAGCCCCUCCUUUACUCCAUCCUCGGCUCCUCUCAGUGUGGGUUGCUGCUGCAAGGGCAAGCCUAGCUAAGCUGAAACAAUGAAGGCAUCUUAGUGAGUGUAAUGGCCUGAGGAUGGUUCGUGGUACCAGCAAUGCCAGGCUCAAAAGAACCUUCCGGAAUCAGAGAGGAGAGAAGGCUAUUCACAAGUUCAAGACACCAGAUAGUUCUUGCUCCACGUUUGCUUGAUGGACAAGAAGUGACAUCCACACUGUUGGCAGGUUCUGCCUAUGAUGUCCAAGCCUUCUUCAUAUUUGAAGCUGGUCAGAUGCUUUUGAGAACCACAAUUCCCUAAUAAUGCCACUUCAUGAUACAGUAGACAAAGAAGUCAUAAAGGCAAAAAUAAGCAAUCUACAAUCAAAGAUCUAAUGAUAUUCUCUUCCUGCUUCACACUGAACUGAACCUUAGAUGGUGACAAAGAAAAGAAGCAAAACCAACAACAAAGCUACUGUAUGAUACCACCAUAUACAACAUUCUUGAAGUCUUCUCACCAUUAUGAAAAGAUAAAUAAAAGUUAAAGAAUUUAUGCA